rnacentral:rRNA from 1 species
UACGGGGGGGGCAAGCGUUGUUCGGAAUUACUGGGCGUAAAGGGCUCGUAGGUGGCCAACUAAGUCAGACGUGAAAUCCCCAGGCUUAACCUGGGAACUGCGUCUGAUACUGGAUGGCUUGAAUUCGGGAGAGGGAUGCAGAAUUCCAGGUGUAGCGGUGAAAUGCGUAGAUAUCUGGAGGAAUACCGGUGGCGAAGGCGGCAUCCUGGACCGAGAUUGACACUGAUGAGCGAAAGCGUGGGUAGCAAACAGG